rnacentral:rRNA from 1 species
CCUACGGGGGGCAGCAGUGGGGAAUAUUGGACAAUGGGGGGAAGCCUGAUGCAGCGACGCCGCGUGAGUGAAGAAGGAUUUCGGUAUGUAAAGCUCUAUCAGCAGGGACGAAAGAAAUGACGGUACCUGACUAAGAAGCCCCGGCUAACUACGUGCCAGCAGCCGCGGUAAUACGUAGGGGGCAAGCGUUAUCCGGAUUUACUGGGUGUAAAGGGUGCGUAGGCGGCAAGGUAAGUCUGAUGUGAAAGGCGGGGGCUCAACCCCCGGAUUGCAUUGGAAACUGUAUAGCUGGAGUACAGGAGAGGUAAGUGGAAUUCCUAGUGUAGCGGUGAAAUGCGUAGAUAUUAGGAAGAACACCAGUGGCGAAGGCGGCUUACUGGACUGAAACUGACGUUGAGGCACGAAAGCGUGGGGAGCAAACAGGAUUAGAUACCCUAGUAGUC